GGUUAAGCGAAUAAGCGUACACGGUGGAUGCCUAGGCAAUCAGAGGCGAUGAAGGACGUGCUAAUCUGCGAAAAGCGUCGGUAAGGUGAUAUGAACCGCUAUACCC
rnacentral:rRNA from 1 species